rnacentral:lncRNA from 1 species
CACCUGUCCUUCCUAGGGACUUCGGGUUGAAAAUGUCACCUCUAGCACCGUUAAUCCAGGUCCUGCAGGGCUGUUAGGAAGGGAAUUAGCAGCUGGGAUACCCCCAUCCUACAAUGAGGGGAGUUUAGCAAACCCUCCUGAAAUCCCAAGGCCACAGCUUCCUGCAGACGCUUAAGGAACAUGCCAAAUGCAACUGAUCUCCUGAAAAAUGCAAGCACUGCUGGUGAGGGCUGGGGUUCCGGGACGCUUUGCACACCACAGGUCACAGUUUGUGGGGGAGCUUCUCUGGGACCGGCUGACUCUUGGGGGCGCCGCUCGCAUCCUCCUGGCAGCAUUCGGAACCCUCACGGCUGGACUCGAGGCCCAAGGCAGACAUGGGGACCCCUGGGAGGCGUCCGGGACCCCCAGGACAGGAUUCCAGCCCCCCGGCCAGACGUGGGGACUCCUGGGCGGUGUCCAGGACGCCUGGGGCUGGACCCAAGCCCCCAAGGCUAGAUGUGGGGACCCCAGGGCUGGACUCAAGCCCCAAGGCAGACGAGGGGGACCCACCUGGGCGGCGCCCGGGACCCCCCCAGAGCAGGUCUCCAGCCCCAGAGCAGAGGUGGGGACUCCUGGGCGGCGUCCGGGACCCCCAGAGCAGGUCUCCAGCCCCAGAGCAGAGGUGGGGACUCCUGGGCGGCGUCCGGGACCCCCAGAGCAGGUCUCCAGCCCCCAGAACAGAGGUGGGGACUCCUGGGCGGCGUCCGGGACCCCCAGAGCAGUUCUCCAGCCCCCAGAGCAGAGGUGGGGACUCCUGGGCGGCGUCCGGGACCCCCAGAGCAGGUCUCCAGCCCCCAGAGCAGAGGUGGGGACUCCUGGGCGGCGUCCCGGACCCCCAGAGCAGGUCUCCAGCCCCCAAGGCAGACGUGGGGACCCACCUGGGCGGUGUCUGGGACUCCCACGGGGGAACGCCAGUCUCCAAGGCAGACGUGAGGACCCCCGGGCGGCGUCCGGGACCCCCAGGGCUGCACUCGAGCCCCCAAAGCAGACAUGGGGCUCCCUGGGUGGCGUCCGGGACCCCCAGGGCUGGACUCAUGCCCCCAGGGCAGACGUGGGGACUCCUGGGCGGCGUCCGGGACCCCCACGGCGGCACUCCAGGCUCCAGAGCAGACGUAGAGACCCCCGGGCGGUGUCCGGGACCCCGGGCGGUGUCCGGGACCCCAGGGCUGGACUCCGAGCCCCCAAGGCAGACGUGGGGACCCCGGAGCGGCGUUCGGGAUCCCCGGAGAUUGAAGUCAAGCCCCCGAGGCGGCGUUCCGCACCCUCGCAAUCAGACUUGGACUCUACCCAGCGCGGAACGGGGUAGGACGGGAGCGGGAACGAGGCGGGUGAGGGCAGCGCCGCCGGGGCUGGGGGUCCUAGCGCCUACACGGCCGGCGGCUGCACCGGGC